GGCUUUUUAAAAAUAUAUGGAAGAAAGAAGAAAAGUAAUUGUACUGGAUCCCAAAGACUGUGGUAGACCUCUUUCUUAAUGUUCAGUGUACUUUGGGUCAAGAUUUGGUGCAAUAUAA
rnacentral:snoRNA from 1 species